UUCAAUUUUUAUUCGGCUCGUGUUCCACACCAUCAAGCCUGUCCCCAGUGAGAGCAAGAUUCUCACUAUGGCCCACACUCUCUUGGAUGCUCGACUAUGGCGGGUGAAUGCUCCAGUGAGAGUGCGACGCAGUAUAACGCAGUUGAAUGAUCCUGUUGCUGUGCAGGAUAUUACUUAUCAGAUACUAUCCAACAGUUCCUUUGCCUUGGCACUGCGAUAUCAGAUAAACAACGUGAGCAUGCCAGAACUCACUGAACUCAGGACCGAGACGUACAAACUCAUCCAGGACUCCAUUAACAACCUGCUGAACCAAAUUCUGACACAACCUGAUGCAAAUCCUUCCAUCUUUCCACAAGCAAGUUUUACGGAUACGGCAAACCAGAUUCAAGCCAUUGUGGAAUAUGUCUACCAGGAAGGUGACAUCCAAGACCCAAGUGAAUUCUUGACUGCAGUACUGACAGCAAUUGGGUGGCUUACUACAACUACUACGCCGAUAACUGAACCACCAAUCACAACAGUUACCCAAACAACAAUACCACCUACUGUGGAAUCUACGAAUAUCAUUCUAACAACAAAAACCAUUCGAUCUACAACAGCAGUUCAUACCACAUUAGGUACUUCAGCUACAACAAAAGGUUUUACCACAACAAGGCUUCCCACAUCGAGACCUGAAGCUCAAACGACUGCAACCAAACCGACUGCCAGCAUAGCUUCUCAAACAACAAUACCACCUACAACAAUGGGGACGGAAUCUCCAACUAUU